rnacentral:rRNA from 1 species
UACGUAGGGCGCAAGCGUUGUCCGGAAUUAUUGGGCGUAAAGAGCUCGUAGGCGGCCUGUUGCGUCCGCUGUGAAAUCCCGGGGCUCAACCCCGGGCCGCAGUGGAUACGGGCUGGCUAGAGGCAGGCAGGGGAGAACGGAAUUCCUGGUGUAGCGGUGAAAUGCGCAGAUAUCGGAAGGAACACCAGUGGCGAAAGCGGCUUCCUGGUCCAGCACCGACGUCAGGCACGAAAGC